AUGCAAGUCGAGCGAACUGAUUAGAAGCUUGCUUCUAUGACGUUAGCGGCGGACGGGUGAGUAACACGUGGGCAACCUGCCUGUAAGACUGGGAUAACUUCGGGAAACCGAAGCUAAUACCGGAUAGGAUCUUCUCCUUCAUGGGAGAUGAUUGAAAGAUGGUUUCGGCUAUCACUUACAGAUGGGCCCGCGGUGCAUUAGCUAGUUGGUGAGGUAACGGCUCACCAAGGCAACGAUGCAUAGCCGACCUGAGAGGGUGAUCGGCCACACUGGGACUGAGACACGGCCCAGACUCCUACGGGAGGCAGCAGUAGGGAAUCUUCCGCAAUGGACGAAAGUCUGACGGAGCAACGCCGCGUGAGUGAUGAAGGCUUUCGGGUCGUAAAACUCUGUUGUUAGGGAAGAACAAGUACAAGAGUAACUGCUUGUACCUUGACGGUACCUAACCAGAAAGCCACGGCUAACUACGUGCCAGCAGCCGCGGUAAUACGUAGGUGGCAAGCGUUAUCCGGAAUUAUUGGGCGUAAAGCGCGCGCAGGCGGUUUCUUAAGUCUGAUGUGAAAGCCCACGGCUCAACCGUGGAGGGUCAUUGGAAACUGGGGAACUUGAGUGCAGAAGAGAAAAGCGGAAUUCCACGUGUAGCGGUGAAAUGCGUAGAGAUGUGGAGGAACACCAGUGGCGAAGGCGGCUUUUUGGUCUGUAACUGACGCUGAGGCG
rnacentral:rRNA from 2 species